GACGAACGCUGGCGGCGUGCUUAACACAUGCAAGUCGAACGGAAAGGCCCUGCUUUUGUGGGGUGCUCGAGUGGCGAACGGGUGAGUAACACGUGAGUAACCUGCCCUUGACUUUGGGAUAACUUCAGGAAACUGGGGCUAAUACCGGAUAGGAGCUCCUGCUGCGUGGUGGGGGUUAGAAAGUUUCGGCGGUUGGGGAUGGACUCGCGGCUUAUCAGCUUGUUGGUGGGGUAGUGGCUUACCAAGGCUUUGACGGGUAGCCGGCCUGAGAGGGUGACCGGCCACAUUGGGACUGAGAUACGGCCCAGACUCCUACGGGAGGCAGCAGUGGGGAAUAUUGCACAAUGGGCGGAAGCCUGAUGCAGCAACGCCGCGUGCGGGAUGACGGCCUUCGGGUUGUAAACCGCUUUCGCCUGUGACGAAGCGUGAGUGACGGUAAUGGGUAAAGAAGCACCGGCUAACUACGUG
rnacentral:rRNA from 1 species